GACGAACGCUGGCGGCGUGCUUAACACAUGCAAGUCGAGCGGAAAGGCCACUUCGGUGGUACUCGAGCGGCGAACGGGUGAGUAACACGUGAGUAAUCUGCCCUUCACUUCGGGAUAGCCCUGGGAAACUGGGAUUAAUACCGGAUACGACCGGCGCCUGCAUGGGUUGUUGGUGGAAAGUUUUUUCGGUGGAGGAUGUGCUCGCGGCCUAUCAGCUUGUUGGUGGGGUAAUGGCCUACCAAGGCUUCGACGGGUAGCCGGCCUGAGAGGGUGACCGGCCACACUGGGACUGAGACACGGCCCAGACUCCUACGGGUGGCUG
rnacentral:rRNA from 1 species